UACAGAGGGUGCAAGCGUUGUUCGGAAUUACUGGGCGUAAAGCGCGUGUAGGCGGCUUCGUAAGUCGGAUGUGAAAGCCCUCGGCUCAACCGAGGAAGUGCAUCUGAUACUGCGAAGCUUGAGUGUCGGAGGGGGUGGCGGAAUUCCCGGUGUAGAGGUGAAAUUCGUAGAUAUCGGGAGGAACACCUGUGGCGAAGGCGGCCACCUGGACGACAACUGACGCUGAGACGCGAAAGCGUGGGUAGCAAACAGG
rnacentral:rRNA from 1 species